rnacentral:rRNA from 1 species
UGGGGAAUAUUGGACAAUGGGGGCAACCCUGAUCCAGCAAUGCCGCGUGUGUGAAGAAGGCCUUCGGGUUGUAAAGCACUUUAGUUGGGGAAGAAGAUGUGCAGUUUAAGAGACAGUACAUUUGACGGUACCCAAAGAAUAAGCACCGGCUAACUCUGUGCCAGCAGCCGCGGUAAUACAGAGGGUGCAAGCGUUAAUCGGAGUUACUGGGCGUAAAGGGCGCGUAGGCGGUUAUUUAAGUUGGAUGUGAAAUCCCUGGGCUUAACCUAGGAACUGCAUUCAAAACUGGGUAACUGGAGUACUGUAGAGGGUAGUGGAAUUUCCGGUGUAGCGGUGAAAUGCGUAGAGAUCGGAAGGAACACCAGUGGCGAAGGCGGCUACCUGGACAGAUACUGACGCUGAGGCGCGAGAGCGUGGGGAGCAAACAGGAUUAGAUACCCCCGUAGUCC